AGAGCGAACGCUGGCGGCAGGCCUAACACAUGCAAGUCGAGCGCCCCGCAAGGGGAGCGGCAGACGGGAGAGUAACACGUGGGAACGUACCCUUUGGUUCGGAACAACACAGGGAAACUUGUGCUAAUACCGGAUAAGCCCUUACGGGGAAAGAUUUAUUGCCAAAGGAUCGGCCCGCGUCCGAUUAGCUAGUUGGUGAGGUAAUGGCUCACCAAGGCGACGAUCGGUAGCUGGUCUGAGAGGAUGACCAGCAUCACUGGGACUGAGACACGGCCCAGACUCCUACGGGAGGCAGCAGUGGGGAAUAUUGGACAAUGGGCGCAAGCCUGAUCCAGCCAUGCCGCGUGGAUGAUGAAGGCCCUAGGGUUGUAAAGUCCUUUUAACGGGAGAUAAUGACGGUACCCGUAGAAUAAGCCCGGCUAACUUCGUGCCAGCAGCCGC
rnacentral:rRNA from 1 species